CCAGCCCCUUCUCCAGCAGAUUUUCCCAACACAUGGAUCGAACCCAGGGUCUCCUGCAUUGCAGAAAUGACAGGGAGAAGGAAAAAAAAUCACAGUAGAAUGGCUGAAAAUUCUGAAAUACUGAUGGAAGUGUGUGGGGGAUUGCUCAUUCAUUUGGAGUGACAAGGAAGAUUUUCAUUAAGAAGGUGACAUCUGAUGAAAGGACUAACAGAGGUGAAAGGAUCAGCCAGGCAGAUAACUUGAAGAGCAUCCUUACGAGCAGAGGGAACACAUCAGGGUCUUUUCCAAUGAGUCUGCUCUUCACAACAGGAGGCCAAAGUAUUGGAGCAUGUAAAGAACAGCCAGUGAGAACUGGGUGACUGGCCUAUGGAAAAGAGAAGCAAAAAGUAGAAGAUAACAUCAGGGAGUGAUAACAUAAUGAGUGAAGAGAAGACACAUGCAGUUUUAAAGGCUAUUUGAAAUACCUUUCCUUUAAUAAAGCCAUUUGAGAGUCCUGAAAAUAGAAAUGACCCAUUUAACUUACACUGCAAUAAUAUCACUUAAUUGCUGUGCUAUCAUUUAUUUAAUCAUUUAAUUGCUGUGAGUAAAAUGUAGAGGAGUCAGAGAGGUAGCAGGAAGAACAAUUAGGGGCUAAUAGUCAUACUGAUCUGGGUAA
ensembl:lncRNA